CGAGAGAGAGCUUGCUUUCUCAGCGAGUGGCGAACGGGUGAGUAACGCGUGAGGAACCUGCCUCAAAGAGGGGGACAACAGUUGGAAACGACUGCUAAUACCGCAUAAGCCCACGGCUCGGCAUCGAGCAGGGGGAAAAGGAGCAAUCCGCUUUGAGAUGGCCUCGCGUCCGAUUAGCUAGUUGGUGAGGUAACGGCCCACCAAGGCGACGAUCGGUAGCCGGACUGAGAGGUUGAACGGCCACAUUGGGACUGAGACACGGCCCAGACUCCUACGGGAGGCAGCAGUGGGGAAUAUUGCACAAUGGGGGAAACCCUGAUGCAGCGACGCCGCGUGGAGGAAGAAGGUCUUCGGAUUGUAAACUCCUGUUGUUGGGGAAGAUAAUGACGGUACCCAACAAGGAAGUGACGGCUAACUACGUGCCAGCAGCCGCGGUAAAACGUAGGUCACAAGCGUUGUCCGGAAUUACUGGGUGUAAAGGGAGCGCAGGCGGGAAGACAAGUUGGAAGUGAAAUCUAUGGGCUCAACCCAUAAACUGCUUUCAAAACUGUUUUUCUUGAGUAGUGCAGAGGUAGGCGGAAUUCCCGGUGUAGCGGUGGAAUGCGUAGAUAUCGGGAGGAACACCAGUGGCGAAGGCGGCCUACUGGGCACCAACUGACGCUGAGGCUCGAAAGUGUGGGUAGCAAACAGGAUUAGAUACCCUGGUAGUCCACACCGUAAACGAUGAUUACUAGGUGUUGGAGGAUUGACCCCUUCAGUGCCGCAGUUAACACAAUAAGUAAUCCACCUGGGGAGUA
rnacentral:rRNA from 1 species